UCCUGUAUUUCUCCGUCGCUUCUGAGUUCUGGGUAUCAUUUCCCAAAUGUGCCCAUUUGUGGUUUCUAAUUUUCUAGCCUCUAUUUCAUUUGAUAUUUCUGUAUCUCCAAAUGGGGCUAAAAAUGCAAGAGGAUUCAAGUGCAAAAAGGACUCAGAGUAGCCAAUAAUUGCAGAAGAGGAGAAGCAAACUCAGAAAUGACGAGUGAUGGAUGUGAUUUCAAGUGAAGAAGCAAGUUUGGAGCUAAAAUGAAUGAUUUGGAGCUUUAAAGUCUGAAUAGAAGCCCAACAAAUUAAGUUGGGAUCAUGUUCGGGGGUCGAGGAUCAAGUCUGGAUCUCAAAAAGUGAGAAAAAUUAUUACUGUGAGAAAAAUGCACUACCGCCCCGCACCAUGCGUCACGGGGCGCGGGGUGCUAGUGCAAAAUUCCUGCAUAGUGGAAAAAAUAGGCCUCUGAACUUUUCCACUAAUGCGGGGCAUGGUGCGUCCCCCGGUGCGCCGCGGUAGUGUAUUUUUUCGUUUAACCUUUCCCACUUUGGCUCAGAGAGGGUAGUUUCAUCCGGACUCAUUCCUACAUGGAAUAAUACACCAAAAACGCGAUUUUUAGAGGACUUUUGAACUACGAAAGAUUUAGGAAGCAACUAAGGCAAGGAGACACAAGAUUUUAACCAACAAUCAGUGCAAUACGAGGGUUUGUAUCGACUUAUUAGCAUUGCUGUUUUUCUCUGUCUUUGAACCUUAUUGAGAUGAAUUUUUCCAUUAUUAUGGAGUAGUUUUCCCUUAGGGUGUUGACA